rnacentral:misc_RNA from 1 species
GGUCGUAGCUCAGGCGUUCCUGUCAUUAGUUAAAAAAAAAAAAAAAGUAAAGAGGAGAAAAGAAAUUUUUCUUUCCAGUGCGUUGUGUGUGUGUUUGUUUUGUGUCAUAAGAGAUUGUGGGACUGAUAUCUCCAACCAAGCAGUGGGUGUCUAUCGCACAGUUUUUUUUCCCGGUCGUCGUGCGUGCGAUUUUUUGGUAUACGGUAGGGCGCAACUGCGCAUUAGUUGGUGGGGGAUAUCUCGCACACAACACUUUUUACAGGGGUAGUCGAGUGGUGCGUCUUAGAGUUAAGCAAAAUGGGGGUCGCUUGUACUCUCAACAACACUCACAUUCUUAUGGAUAAAUAUGUCAAUGGCACGGGAGCACUUGGCCCUUCAGGUGUUGGAGCCCAAUCAAUUGUAUCCAGUAUCGGAGUGGGAAGUGGAAGCAACAGUAGUAGCAGCAGUACCAGUAGUAAUUGUGGAACAAGUUUGAGUGGAGUGAGUGGUGGAAGUGGAGGCGGAACUGCAUUGAUGACUCCCAUGGCCCCUAUGGCUCCGGUUCCACCUAUGAUGCCACCAACUCAACAGCCUCCACCUAUGGCUUCGGCCGCGCCGCAAGCUGCGGCACCAGAACUUCCUAUGUUUGUUUGCCCACGUCGUCCAAAUCUUGGUCGUGAGGGUAGACCCAUCAUGCUAAGAGCCAAUCACUUUCAAAUAUCCAUGCCACGAGGAUACAUACACCACUAUGAUAUCAGCAUCCAGCCAGAUAAGUGCCCAAGAAAAGUCAAUCGGGAGAUUAUCGAAACGAUGGUGCAUGCCUACAGCAAAAUAUUUGGAGCACUGAAGCCCGUUUUUGAUGGUCGAAGCAACUUAUAUACUCGAGACCCUUUACCGAUUGGCAACGAACGGGUCGAAUUAGACGUUACUUUGCCUGGCGAGGGAAAAGAUCGUGUUUUCCAUGUAGCUAUAAAAUGGUUGGCGAAAGUAUCUCUCUACGCCCUCGAAGAAGCUUUAGAAGGUCGUAUUCGCACAAUUCCGAUGGAUGCCAUUUUGGCUCUCGACGUGGUUAUGCGCCACUUGCCGUCUAUGACUUACACUCCAGUGGGUCGGAGUUUCUUUUCUUCACCUGAUGGUUACUACCACCCACUGGGUGGGGGAAGGGAAGUUUGGUUCGGUUUCCAUCAAUCUGUCCGGCCUUCUCAAUGGAAGAUGAUGCUAAAUAUUGACGUUUCAGCUACGGCUUUUUACAAGUCGCAACCAGUGAUUGAAUUUAUGUGUGAAGUCUUAGAUAUUCGUGACGUUAACGAGCAGAGAAAACCAUUGACGGAUUCUCAGCGUGUAAAAUUUACCAAAGAGAUCAAAGGUGGGUUCGCUGGCUUGAAAAUUGAAAUUACCCAUUGCGGAACAAUGCGACGAAAAUAUCGUGUAUGCAAUGUCACUCGCCGUCCAGCUCAAAUGCAGUCUUUCCCACUGCAAUUGGAAAAUGGUCAAACUGUCGAGUGUACAGUGGCCAAGUAUUUCUUGGACAAGUACAAAAUGAAAUUGCGCUACCCGCAUCUGCCUUGCCUGCAGGUUGGACAAGAGCACAAACAUACCUACUUGCCACUGGAAGUUUGCAACAUUGUAGCCGGGCAGCGGUGCAUAAAGAAACUGACGGACAUGCAAACAUCGACCAUGAUCAAAGCCACUGCCCGAUCAGCUCCCGACCGCGAGCGUGAAAUUAAUAAUCUAAUACGAAAGGCUGACUUCAAUAACGAUCCCUACGUCCAAGAAUUUGGCUUGACCAUAUCGAAUAGCAUGAUGGAGGUACGAGGUCGUGUGCUUCCUCCUCCUAAACUACAAUAUGGGGGAAGAACAAAACAACAGGCACUACCUAAUCAAGGUGUCUGGGAUAUGCGUGGCAAGCAAUUCUUCACUGGUGUUGAGAUUCGUGUUUGGGCAAUUGCCUGCUUUGCACCACAAAGAACAGUGCGAGAAGACGCCCUAAGGAACUUUACCCAGCAAUUGCAAAAAAUAAGCAAUGAUGCGGGCAUGCCCAUCAUUGGUCAACCGUGUUUCUGCAAGUAUGCCACUGGACCCGAUCAAGUAGAGCCCAUGUUCCGCUACCUCAAGUCAACCUUCCAAGGUCUUCAGUUGGUGUGUGUCGUCUUACCCGGCAAAACUCCUGUCUACGCCGAAGUCAAACGCGUGGGCGACACAGUACUGGGAAUGGCCACACAGUGUGUCCAAGCAAAAAAUGUCAACAAAACGUCUCCUCAAACUCUGUCCAAUUUGUGUCUGAAGAUCAACGUUAAACUUGGUGGUGUCAACAGUAUCCUCGUUCCUACCAUUCGUCCGAAGGUGUUCAAUGAACCUGUCAUUUUCCUUGGAGCUGAUAUAACGCAUCCUCCGGCCGGUGACAACAAAAAACCGUCGAUCGCAGCUGUUGUGGGUUCGAUGGACGCCCAUCCUUCGCGCUAUGCUGCGACUGUUCGCGUCCAACAACACCGCCAAGAAGUUAUCCAGGAGCUUAGUGCUAUGGUUCGAGAACUUUUGAUUCUGUUUUACAAAACUACAAGAUUCAAGCCAAACCGAAUUAUCAUGUAUCGUGAUGGCGCCAGUGAAGGCCAGUUUAGUACUGUUUUACAACACGAAUUGACCGCUAUUCGCGAGGCGUGCAUCAAAUUGGAACCUGAUUACAAGCCCGGUAUCACCUUUAUCGUAGUCCAGAAGCGUCAUCACACCAGACUUUUCUGCGCGGACAAAAAGGAACAGUCGGGAAAAUCUGGAAACAUUCCCGCCGGUACGACAGUCGACGCUGGAAUCACGCAUCCCACUGAGUUCGAUUUUUACUUGUGUUCGCACCAAGGCAUUCAGGGUACUAGCCGCCCUAGUCAUUACCACGUUUUGUGGGAUGACAACCAUUUUGACGCUGACGAAUUGCAGUGCCUGACAUACCAACUUUGUCAUACUUACGUGCGCUGCACGCGUUCCGUUUCCAUUCCGGCGCCAGCUUAUUAUGCCCACCUGGUAGCUUUCCGGGCGAGGUACCAUUUAGUGGAAAAAGAGCACGACAGUGGAGAAGGAUCAUUGCAAGAUUGUAUUAAGAGUUACACCAGUGGAGAAGGCUCGCAUCAGAGCGGCAGCAGCGAGGAUCGCACUCCAGGUGCUAUGGCUCGCGCCAUCACUGUUCACGCCGAUACCAAGAAAGUCAUGUACUUUGCUUAAAAAGCACUAUCAUCAAAUUCACCCUCCUUCCCAGUAAGUUGCCGUUUGGUCAUCGCGUGUAAAUUGGAUCGGAUGAGAAUGGAGCAGAAAUGGUUUGUAAUAUUUCCACGUGACUUGACGCUGUUUUCUCUAGCUAUUUUGGAAGGUCAGCUUGUGAGCACAAUAUCUUGACACCUAUUUUCAUGUCACCCCCAUCGCCACCACAUCCCUGAAUCUUGCGUGCAAAGAGGAGCAUUUCACAUCCCUUUAACAGAGCCAUCCCCGACGCAAAACAAAAUGUCCACGGCCGUCAAGUCUUUCAUGUAUUUUUCAUCCUUAUAGCAAAAGUCGAAGCAUUUCGAUCUGGAUGCCGUCUAAACACCUAAAAUCCUUCAAAGAAAAUCCAUCGAUGCGAGCACCGGUCUUGUUGAUGGUCGCAAAACGAAGAUAACGAAAAAAUAAAAUGAAAAGACGUGUGAGAAAGGAUUAGGGCAUCAAGCAAAAACGGACUUUGUUUAGUAGCUUUCGAAUGGAUAAUUGCAUUUCCCUCCCAGCGUGUGGAUGAAGUAUGGACCAAGCAAACGUGGAAUCGUAUCCAAUCAGCAUUUCCUUAAUCCUGACCUAUCGUAGCUACUUAAGAGACACGACAAAAUUUAAUUGACAUUUUCUUCGUUACCGAUCUGUUUGUUUAUCAAUCCACUUUCUUUUUAAGAAUGCUCCAAGCUAUCCUUCCUCCUCUUACUGAUUAAGCAUCUGUUGCGUUUCGCGGGAACUGAAAUGACAUCUGAAAUUGAACUGACGCGCGAAAAAAAAAGUCAAACCUAAACCUUAAAAAAAUAGCUUGGAUAGAGAACCCUCCGUAUAUGUUUGUUCUUUGAUGCACUUCUAAUCAAAUUUGAUGAAAAAAUAUCGCCGAUCCCUCCUUCCGCGCUACAAACGUCUUUCAGCCUCCAUUCGAAAUGUAAAAGAUAAAGCGAGCAAAACGGAAAGCAGAGAGAGAAUGUGCAUUUACAAUCUGCAAAGACAGCCAUUUUGCCAUGACAAAAAUAUCGUUAUCCCCCAAUAAUAGUUCUUUCUCACACCGACAUCGACUACUUUCCUAAAAAAAACAAAAAAAAAACAAACAAAAGAAAUGAAAAAGAAAAAAAAAAAAUGCGUGUUUGCAAGUGUGAAUGGCUUGUGUGUUGUGGAGUGUGAGCGGUCCCACCACAUUCGGGCAGCUCUUAGAACGUGAGUUGACGCAAAUUUUUCAAAACAGUGUUUCGAGGACAAAAAAAAAUAUAUUCACCCACCUAUCGGCGUCUCGCGUCAACCCGAGAAGUUAAUUGGCAGUGUAAUAUUACUUCGCGACCCCAAUCAAAGUUUGACCCUCUCUUCCUUCUGUCUUUUUUGUUUUUGUUGAGAAUAUGUUUUCAUAACAUGUCUUGGUUUCUGUUUGACUGGAUCGUGGAAAAGCGUCUUGUAGCAUUUAGUUGUGUGCGUUGCUCUUACCAUUUUUUCUUUUUCUAUUUUGGAGGGUAGGGAGGAAUUCCUGCGAGCGUUUAAUAGCCAUAUCGUUUCUCGGCCAUCGUGAGAAAUAUCAAUCUUUUUUUCUUCCCUUUUUCUGCGUCUGUCUUGUUCCGUCUCUCUCUCACACACUGUAGGUUGGCUUUGGUUUCUCUCUUUUGUCGCCUGCCGCUCUUUGUCACUGAGUUAUGUUCCUCGUGUACCUGUAGCUGCUUUAUAAACAAAAGAAAAUCGUGCCGAAUUGUUCUCUCGGCUACUAUUUGCUAAUUAGUGAAACUAGAAGGAAUUAAAUUUUAGACGAGUCAGAAUACUAUUGACAUAUCUGAUCAAUUUCUUUCGACGACAAUAGUUUUUUCUCUAAUUAUCUCUUCCCGUCCUUGCCCCCCCCCCCCCAAAAAAAAAACUUUCCUCCGCUCACGUUCCCGAUCCCUCCGACAACAUUUUGGCUUUUGAAAAAUAUGAUUUUGGGUUUACUUUUACCUCUACUGCAUCAUAUUCCCUCCGCGCCAUUUACCUCCAACAUGUAUGUAUGUGCGUGAGUGUAUUUGUAAUGAUUUUUCUGUUUUAUGUUGCGCAUGGUGACCCUUUUUCCUUCUACAAAAAUUAUUAUUAUUUUUUUUUUAAUUUUUUGUUUUUUUUUCCAUUUUUGUUUUUCUACGUUGUUCCUCUUUAUUAUCAGUUUCGGUAGGUCUUUUGAUUUCAUUUCAGUACGGGAUUUUUUUUUUUGUUUUGUUUUUUGCUUUUGUUUAAAAACAAAAAUGCGGGAUUCAAUGAGGGAAAAGAAACUAAGUGUUUAAAACCCUUAAGACAAAGACAAGCUCUUCUGCCCAAAUUUUCUCAACUGAAUCCGUUCAAAAGUUUCUAAAUAAUGUAAGCUCUUAAUAAUGGGUAGAAUCUGGGUUGCUUUCCUGGUGUUUCUGUUUUCUUUCACCGACAUUCCAAGUCAGAUAGGAAUCCAAAAAAAUCAAGAAUAAAAACAAACUUUAGGUCCCUUUCACGUCCCGUUCUGAAAGUUCCAGUCAGCUUUACUUCCAAUCAUAUAAACCUUUGCCUCCCUUUGGCUUGCAGUUAAGAAAAAUAUAGAAAAAAAAAUAGACGUAAUAGUUUGAUUUCAGUGAGUAAAUUUAUCGAACACAUCUCUUUUCGGGCAUAUCUUUUUUUCGGAGAGGGAACGAUCGUCUCCUCUCGUUCUCGUUUCUCAGCUCCUCAGAUCAAUCUCAGUUGAAAACACAGAAUAUUUGUUGCGCCUGGAAUUGGAUCUAAACAAAGAGAAAGAUAAUGGAAGACUUCUCCGCUUUUAUAGACAUAACCACAGAAAAUGGAAUCAUUUGCGCUGUCAAUGUUGAGGGGCAAUCAUCAGUGAGAAUAAUGUUAUCACGUAGUCCUUAUCAAAAUAAUUCUACUUUUUUUUUCCCCUAUCCAUCUAUUUCUGUCGUAAGAAUCAUGCGUCCAUCUCCCGCCCUUGCAUAAUUUACCCAAUUGCAUUAUCGCAAAGGGGGAACUGUAUCGUCUGUAAUACACUUGGGCGUAUUAGCCUGUUUUACUCUCAAA